UACGAAGGGGGCUAGCGUUGUUCGGAAUUACUGGGCGUAAAGCGUGCGCAGGCGGCCAUCCAAGUCAGUGGUGAAAGCCCGGAGCUCAACUCCGGAACUGCCAUUGAAACUGUUUGGCUUGAGUACGAGAGAGGUGAGUGGAAUUCCCAGUGUAGAGGUGAAAUUCGUAGAUAUUGGGAAGAACACCGGUGGCGAAGGCGGCUCACUGGCUCGUAACUGACGCUCAUGCACGACAGCGUGGGGAUCAAACAGG
rnacentral:rRNA from 1 species